UGAUUGGAAUUCGGCAUGGAGCUUUUUGAUGAUGGUCCGGUUUCAUUCUGGAAAGCAACCAAGGGCGCCAAUAAUUCGAAUCUGAGAUGCCUCCCAGUCUUCCCGCACAACGGUUGAGUGUCUUGCUGAGGGCAACACUUUGGUCACCCAUGUUGGUUUCCUGUGUCUGGAAGAAGUGGUUUCGAAUGUUCCUGGAAUUUAGCAUCAGAUCCGGCCUCUGCUUUUGAUUUUGGAGUAAGUGCACAAUGGCCAGAGAAAGUCCCAUUUGAUAAGUGAUGGGUGGAAAUUACAUGAUUGAAUCAGAAAGAAUGAUGCGGAGAUGGAACAGUGCAUGAGAGCUGGGUUAGAUUGCCAUUUUGUCUUCAUACUCUUUCUGUUCCCCAGUUCUUUAGGUUCAAGCAAAAUUUACCAGUGCAAUGAAGAUCAGCAUUUUGCAGGUCAAAUCCAAACCAGUAAUCUACACAUUAGGAACCUAGAAGGAGCAACUUUCAAGCGCCAAGGAUGACUACUAGAUUCCUGAACGCAAAGCAGUUUGCGAGCACAUUAAUUAUAACAAUUACUACAAUAAAGCAUAUAAUGAAU